rnacentral:rRNA from 1 species
UACGUAGGGUGCAAGCGUUGUCCGGAAUUAUUGGGCGUAAAGAGCUCGUAGGCGGUCUGUCGCGUCUGCUGUGAAAACCUAGGGCUUAACUCUGGGCGUGCAGUGGGUACGGGCAGGCUAGAGUGCGGUAGGGGAGACUGGAAUUCCUGGUGUAGCGGUGAAAUGCGCAGAUAUCAGGAGGAACACCAAUGGCGAAGGCAGAUCUCUGGGCCGUAACUGACGCUGAGGAGCGAAAGCAUGGGGAGCGAACAGG